rnacentral:misc_RNA from 1 species
ACACCCUCAAGCUCAUGCUUGGUGUUGGGCGUCUGUCCGCGCUUUCGGCGCGGACUCGCCCCAAAUCCAUUGGCAGCGGCUCCGCCGGCUUCUCGCGCAGCACUUUGCGCUCUUGAAGGCUUUCGGCGGGCUCGCAUCCAUCAAGUAACCCCCCAA